GAUGAACGCUAGCGGCAGGCCUAAUACAUGCAAGUCGAACGGUAACAUGAGUAGCAAUACUUGAUGACGAGUGGCGCACGGGUGCGUAACACGUAUGUAAUCUACCCACAACUGGGGGAUAGCCCGGAGAAAUCCGGAUUAACACCCCAUAACAACAACGAAGCGGCAUCGCUUUGUUUGUUAAACCUCAGGGGGUUGGUGGAUGAACAUGCGCCCGA
rnacentral:rRNA from 1 species